UAAGUAUUACAUCCGUCCUAAAAUACUUGACUCGGAUUGGUCUAAAUAUGGAUGUAUUUAAACAUUUUAAUGUACACAUACAUCUAUAUUUAGACAAAGAUAAGUCAACUAUUUUAGGACGGAGGGAGUAGAUA
rfam:Triticum aestivum genome assembly, contig: Triticum_aestivum_CS42_TGACv1_scaffold_019573_1AS